UAAAGAAAUCAUUCAUAUUCUUCAUGAAUAUAUAGACUUCUUCACAUGGAAAUAUAUAAAUAUGCUUCGAUAUAUUACAGAUGCAUUUUUUUUUUAUAUGAUGAUGUGUAUUUGUCAUAGAAUAUAUUUUUUAGAUGUAUUAUUGUUUUAUGGUAUUAUAUAAAUCAGAAAGAGAGUUUUUUUUAAUAAAAAGAACUAUUAAUAUUUGCAAGUUUAAUCGGAGUUUUUAAAAAAAAGUGUUCUCCUUAUUUAUCUUCUACAACAUUUUAUUUAGACAACAUCGUCCCAAUCAAAAUCUAUUAAUGGAACAUAAACACUUAUGCAUAAAAGCGUUGUCUUUCUUUUUCUUUCUACCUAUUAUGAUAAAAACGCCUUAAUUUGUUGAGACCUUUGAAAGCACUAACAAUAACACUAAUAAGUAAUUUUGUAUUAAACUAAACAGAUAAAAAUGAAUGGAUGAUAACUUCUCAGCUAUAUCAAAGUGAACAAUUAUGUGUAGUUUUUAAAUUUCUUUAGUUUUCAUCCUUACUAGAAGAUGAGUAGCUUUUAUGGUUUUGUUUUUACAACCGUGUGCUCUUUUAAUAUAAUUCUUUUGCUUAUAAAAAAAAUUAGAUACAAGGGCCCAACAAAUUUGUUUAUUCCCAUGUAAUCAUGAACAAGGCACACUUUAGAAUUUUCUUCAUUUUGCUUAUUUUCUUUCCUUCUUGUAGUGAUCUUAUGAAUGAUAUAAUAACAUAUAUAUAAUCAUUAAUGUAUUUACACAUAUUAAGGGCAAAAUUAUCUAUUUUGUAUUAUGUUUAUGGAAUAUAUGCAAGAUAUGGUACAGAAGAGUUGCAAAUUAUUUUAGAUAUUUCAUGAGCCAAACAUGAGUUCUAUAGUAAAUUCAUUGAAACUAGUAAGGUAACCGAAGGAACAUAAACUCCAAAAUGAAUUUAAAGGCCAAGUUUUCAACAACAACAAAACAAUUUCAUAGACCCUUCAAUUUCUACAUAUAGAUAGUACAAUGUUAGUUUGUUUAUUAACGUGUUAAUAGAUCUACAAGUGAAGAUUGUAGUGAGUAUAAAUCAUGAACAAGUUUUUAUUCAUUUGUCUUAUUCUCCUUGCUACUGAGAUGGUGGUACAAAUCGAUGGAAUACGUACUGAAAGAGGGAUUUAUCAUUUUCAAGGGAUUUGUUUUAGUGAACGCAGUUGUGCUAGAAUUUGUAAUAUUGAAGGUUAUGUUGCAGGUGGUAUAUGCAAUGAAACCAAAAGUGGGUUCUAUAAUCAUUGCUAUUGCAGAAGGAGUUUGUAACAUAAGUUGGUGCUCUUGUGUUUUUUGUCGUCUUUAUAAUAAUUUGCAUCUUGUGUUAUUGUUUCUUGAUGUAUUUUUCAUCUAAAAAGUAGAAUUUUUUUGCACCAUUUUCAUUAUUGAUAGUCGAACAUUUAAAAGUUGUUUUUGAGAUAUGUCCAAGAGAACAAAAUAGUUAUUUUCCAAGGGAAAAUAUUGUUUUGAAACUGGAUUGAACUGUUCGGUUGAACCGGUUCAACUUUGAACCGUAGUUUAGUUUGAUUUAGUUUGGACAAAUAAAUCGGGUUUAUAAAAUUUGGAAAAAAUCGUUUUAACCACAAAAAUCGGAGUAACUGCAAAUUUGGGACCGAUUUCACUGAAGCAGAUGAUUCAAAAAAUAAAAGUUAAUUUUUAGGCUAAAUUACCCCCGUGGUCCUUUAAGUAAUUUAAUUGUAACACUUUGGUCCCUUAUGUUGAUUUCGCUACAACUAUGUCCUUUAAGUUGGCUAACGCCUUCAGCGUUGCCCUUGUCCACAGAUUCUGUUCCAAAAAACGUGAUGUGGCACAAACGAUGCUUAGGUGUGACUUAACCUUGCUGACUAUGUCUGUUAAGUCACUUAAAGAAAAAGAUAAAUGGCUGAAACUAACAAUUAGAAGAACAAAACAUAAAACCCCAAAUUCCAGAACCAUAAUUUUGAAAUUCAUCAUCAAUGGCUCAAUACAGUGGCAGUGGAACAAAUGUGAGAGCUGAGAACGCCUUUUCGCUAAUUUCAAGUGGAUCCCAAUCAGGAAUCGAACCAACAUGCAUGUGUGGAUCCAUAGCUGUGAUACGUUUAGUUAAGAAGAAAGGAAGGAACUUGGGUAAGCUUUUUUGGGGCUACAUAUACUUUAAGGAUGAACAUGAUAAUGUUGGCUGCAAUUUCUUUAUGUGGUAUGAAAACCAACAAAGUGAUGAAGGCAAACCAGAGACACCACCAAAUGCAUUCUUAAUGUGUUUCAAAUGUGAUAAAAAGGAGGUACAAAUUAAGAUGCUUAUGAAGGAUGACACAUACAAUAAGGAGAUGAUGAAUAACGUCUUAAAGAUGUUGAAGAUGCUUUUUUAUGCCAUGAUAUGUUUAAUUCUGAUUAUUGUAGUGUUGAUUUGUAUGUUGUUUAAAAAUAGGUGAUCUUAGUUUAUGUUAACGUUGUAAGACAUGGGUUAUGGUACUU